rnacentral:rRNA from 1 species
UACGAAGGGGGGCUAGCGUUGUUCGGAAUCACUGGGCGUAAAGGGCGCGUAGGUGGCUCGUGAAGCGUGCGGUGAAAGUCCGAGGCUCAACCUCGGAUCGGCCGUGCGGACUCGCGGGCUCGAGCGUUGUAGAGGCGGGUGGAAUUCCGGGUGUAGCGGUGGAAUGCGUAGAGAUCCGGAAGAACACCGGUGGCGAAGGCGGUCUGCUGGGCAGUUGCUGACACUGAGGCGCGACAGCGUGGGGAGCAAACAGG